CGGGGCCGCCCGCCCGUCCGCGCCGUCCGCGGGUGCGCGGGCCGGGCGCCUCUCCGCGCCCCGACAUCUGGGGCUUCCACCUUUCCAGCCUCCCUUGGCCGAAUUGCGGGGCAGCCCGGCGUCAGGGGGCGCCCAGGAGCCGGGGGGAAAACCGUAAGGCGCUGGCGGGAGCCUCCAGGCGGUGUAUCCCUAACCUCCCACCUCCCCGCGCCCCGCCCCGAGGUCGGGGCUUUGGAAGAUGCAGCCGGGAAAAACAUUAACUUUUGAGCUACAUCAAGAAUAGCAUCAUCUACAUGGGCAUUCCCUCCUCCUACAAUUUCAGAAAACCUUUGGUAACUAAUUGAGAAAAUGCAGAAGAUCUUGCAAACAGAUGAAAUUACCGAUACCCAAGCUCUCAGAACAGGGAAGAGGAAAAGGACGGAGACAAUGGACUCAGAGAAUGCAAAUAGUGACAUGGAUAAAGGACAGAGAGACCCAUUUUCGGGAAAUGCCUUUCUGCCCGGUGAGAGCUCCAGUGAGGAUGAAGAGCCUUUAACAGAAUUGUCAAAGGAGGAAUUGUGCACGAAAAUAAAAAGCCUGAAACAAAAACUAACAAACACCAGGAAAGAAAACAGCCGACUUCGACAGUCUUUGGUCAUGCUUCAAGUGUUACCACAGGCAGUCACCCAGUUUGAAGAACUGGUUGGCAUGGCGGAGUCUCUGCUUAAGGGUGGAGGAACCAUGGCUACAUCAGCGUCCACCCUCUGGAGAGCAACGAACAACUCCUCACCAGAUUCAUUUGCCUCAACGUGGAGUAACUCUAAUUCUAAUUCCAGUUCACCGAUUUCCUUAAAAGCUGAUGAAGAGCAUCACGCCGGAGAGCAACAGUUCAAGAUUGAAAAAUGGCAGAUUGCCCGUUGUAACAAGAGCAAACCUCAGAAGUUUAUUAAUGAUUUAAUGCAAGUACUUUACACAAAUGAGUACAUGGCCACACACAGUCUGACAGGGGCAAAAUCCUCUACUUCAAGGGACAAAGCCGUAAAACCAGCUAUGAAUCAGAAUGAAGUCCAAGAAAUCAUAGGAGUCACAAAACAGUUAUUCCCCAACACAGAUGAUGUUUCGAUCAGGAGAAUGAUAGGGCAAAAGCUGAACAACUGUACCAAGAAGCCAAAUUUAAGCAAAAAUCUGAACUCUCAGGAUAUUAAGCAGAUCCUUUUGUUUUGAAAGAGCUAAAGCAGAUUUGGGAAGUUGCCUGAUGUUUAAACAAUCAAUAAAUGUUACUGAAGAAUGACCAAACAGAAUUGUUGAUAAUUUUUUAAGAUGGUUGAUGGGUACCUGAAACAAAGCACCUUCAGUUCUAAAUCUAACAUUGGGUUUUGUUGGAGAAUCUGCAGCCUCCCUGGCCAUGCACACAGAGAGACCUGGUGACAGGCUAUGGGACAUGUGUACACGGAUGGGCUCUCCUGAUGGACCAACAAGCUCGCUGAGGAAGCUGCAUGAAGAUUCCGCCCUAAAUACCAGUGAUGCAUCAAACCAGAGAAUUUCUAGCAGCCAAAUAAGCAUGCAAUAUGGUUUCUUGGAAAUAUGCAUUUUCCCAUCCCAAAAUGCUUCUCUGUACAGCUAACUUAACAGGAUAGUCGGAGCUCUUAUCAUAACAACAAAGACUUCAACCCCUAAGAUUCAUCAUCAUCUGAAUCAAUUGCUGUACCUUUGUUAUUACCAUACCUUUCCACUUUAGUUUUUGGAUCUUUAGCAUAAGCACAUGUUUGGAAAGGUAAACAGUGAAGUAAUCCAUGUUCACAAACAUGAGAGCAGCAAAGCCAGCCUAAAAUCUUAUAAUCAUGUCUAACCAGGUAAUCGUGUUUUAGCAAUAAAAUUACAGGAUUAUUCUGUUACCUAAAAAUGUAUAAAAUGGGAAUCUGAAAAAAAUGACAGCAGCAAGACCUUUUUAUUUUAAUAUGAAACUAUUCCACUGUACUCGAAAAAGAAAUAAACCCACGUUUUUGUGACUGUUAAAACAAUACAUCAACUUUCAGAAAAACUCUUUUUAUGCUUCUUUGUUUACAUGCUUCUAACUUUUUAUUGCCCAAAGUAUAUUAAAUACAGAUGUGUCACAUAAAACAUCAGUAUCAUCUAAAACAUCCUAUAUAAAAUAUAACAUCCUGUGUGUCUAGUUGGUUAUAUUGCUACACUGCUUAGUUUUAACUGGUCUGUUUUCAUAGUAUCAGAAGAAAAAAGAAUUGAAAACAAAAUCGUAUGGGUUUGAUAAUCACACAAAAAGACAAAUACCAUUUUGUAAAUGAAUGAAAGAUAAAACAUUCUUCAUCAAGAGGCUUCUCCUCUGAUGUCAAGUUGUCACACGUGACAACUCUAUAAUGCCAAGCCAUGCUUCUUCAGUGCACAAGGUCAUGUUUAAACUUGGAAAAGAGGAUGUGUAGCAUAGUUAGAAACUUCAGUACUGUGGACCCAGGGAACGUCCCAUAAAUGUUGCUUGAUAACAAUGUGGUUGUACAAAAUAAAUAUUCUUAAGGAAAUAACUUAUGUUAACAUUUGCUACUUUUACCUAAAUAUAAAUAAAUCCCAUUG